UCGCCGGCCGAGUAACCGAACCGAGAGGCUCGCCACUCUUCGACGUCGCGAAGCGUCAGUCAACGGAAGUUAGCCGCAGCAUCGCGAACGGUCCGGUUGGCCGCUGCAGCUACGGGGAAAGAGCCGAAGGGACGAUUAGAGAAAGAAAGGGGGGAAAAACGUGACUCGCUCUGCAUCCUCAGUGAGGGAUAACAAACAAAUAAAACAAGAGGAAAUAAAUUACCCACAAACUUUACGUACGUACGAAUGUUUGAAAAAUCAGUGAAAAUCCUAAAGUGAAAAAAAAUGACGGAGGACUCGGUGAUUGUCGAUCGUGCCAAUGUCGCGUCGAUGUUCGUUAAAAAUGGAACGUUCAACGAUACGAUCAACGAAACUGACUACGGUGAUUACGACGUUGAUUUUUCCUUCAACUAUUUCGACUGGGUCGAACUGGCACCUGCCCUCGUCGUCUACAGCCUCACCUUCUUCCUCGGCUUGGCCGGCAACGUGCUGAUCAUCGCAUCGACUCUUUGCCCUCGGCUGAGACCGUUGCCGGCAACACCGACAAACGUUUUCCUCGGCGGUUUAGCGACGGCUGAUUUGCUCCUGAUAAUCUUCUGCAUACCGGUGAAGAUUGCCAAGCUCUUCUCCUACACCUGGAGCAUGGGAAUGUUUCUCUGCAAAUCCGUUCACUACAUGCAGAGCGUUUCGGCCAUUUGCUCCGUCUUAACGUUGACCGCGAUGUCGAUAGAGAGAUACUACGCGAUCGUUCAUCCGAUGAGGGCUCAGUACACGUGCACGAUAAGUCAGGCCCGAAGAAUCGUAAUCAUGACUUGGAUAACGUCGUUUUUACUGGCGAUACCGAUACUCUUUACGCAGCGGCACGAAUCCGUCGGUCCCGGAUACCUCGGGGCGUUUUGGUGCGUACGUGACAGGAGAUCGGUAACGCUUUGGCAAAUUCACGAAGUGUACAUGCUACUGCUGGUCCUCGUUGUCCCCCUCAUUGUCAUGGCCUUCUGCUACACGGCUAUAUGCUGGGAGAUAUGGAGGGUAAUGAAGCGGCGUUACCACAUGACGUCCAGGCACGCAAUUUUACAAGCAUUAGAUGUGCGUGUGUGUGUUCCUCUUUCCAGACUCAGUCCCAGCCGUAAUUCGGCCACUGAAUGCAUUGCCUUGAAUGAUCGGCACCCCGGAAGUGGUAAAAACGGAAGACGGGGACGCCGGGAAGACGUCAGAACGGAGGAAGAAUCGCGGACCAUGAAACAGGUUGUCAAGAUGCUUGUGGCCGUAGUUGUUCUAUUUGGAAUUUGCUGGGGUCCGAUGUUGGUCGACAAUGUUUUGACAGCCUACGGGAUUUUGCCCUGGGCUAAAAUCGGCCCCUACAGACACAGCAACGUCACCUUUCAGCUUAUGGCUUACUUCAACAGCUGCAUAAAUCCCAUCAUCUACGGAUUUAUGUCAAAGCACUUCAGGCAGAGUUUCCUCUCGGCGGCCUGCGGAAGCUGCUGCUGUUGUCCGCGGCGGAAUUACCGUUCGUCAGGUCGAGUCAAGAGGCAUCCGAGCCUGAGCCAGACAAGGACGACGAGCGUUCGGUGGCGUCAGCUCUCAAUCAGCAUGAUGAAGUUUCCUUUGACGAACGCCUCCAAAACCCGUACGGUUGUCGUGUAGAGCACAAAUGUAUAAUGUUACAUUAUCCUAUACCGAACAAUGCGAGAGAGAUAUUUAUUAUAAUAGGUGGACCUGAUUUUACCUGAUCCCUUGGAACUCGUCGAGGGAUAUAAUAAUAAGUUAAGAUGAAAAGUUACUGCUGCAUCGUAAUAUAUUAUAUGUAUUCACUGAAAUUAAGAUUUAAUGUUGCACGCGGGUAUUUGUUCGUAAUUAUUUAAUUACUCGUUUCAUAAUU
rnacentral:misc_RNA from 1 species